rnacentral:rRNA from 1 species
AUACGGAGGAUGCGAGCGUUAUCCGGAUUUAUUGGGUUUAAAGGGUGCGUAGGCGGUUUUUAAGUCAGCGGUGAGACGCAAGGGCUCAACCCUUGACCUGCCGUUGAAACUGGAGGACUUGAAUGCGGAUGCUGUGGGAGGAAUGUGUGGUGUAGCGGUGAAAUGCAUAGAUAUCACACAGAACACCGAUUGCGAAGGCAUCUCACAAAUCCGUGAUUGACGCUGAGGCACGAAAGUGUGGGGAUCAAACAGGAUUAGAUACCCUGGUAGUCCACACUGUAAACGAUGAUGACUCGCUGUCGGCGAUAUACAGUCGGUGGCCAAGCGAAAGCGAUAAGUCAUCCACCUGGGGAGUACGACCGCAAGGUUGAAACUCAAAGGAAUUGGCGGGG